rnacentral:misc_RNA from 1 species
GAUCAACCGGUAGUUUUAGAGUAAAAGUCACAUCAUUCAAGGGUUGUGGCAAAUCAGGGUUCACAGCGUAUUGAAUCAUCACGGAAAGUAAAGUCCCCCUAUGACGUUGUAUGAGACGAACUCUCAAAGGCAAUGGGGUUAAUCUGGGUAGCAAACUAUACUUAAUAAUUGGUAUGGGUUCAUUUGAAGGCGCUGUUCGCACGUGAAACAUUCCAUUUCCAAGACUACUAACACGAGAACCCUGCACAACAAAUCGCUUAACUGGAGCUGUAUCUUCGACACGAAAUGAAAACUCUGUUUCUUUGUCAUCCGAAGUUUUAGGUGGCAAAGUUUUCA